UGGGUAUUUGGUGGGGGGUUUUAAGCAGAGGCCGACAAGGCGACUGUGCACAUGUCAUGUGUCCAUACGCACCUAUGUGAGUAUUACCAAUAAUCUAACUAUCUGACCCCUGAUCAAUCAGGUUUUCGCCCAAAUCACUCCACUACAACUGCCCUCUUAAAAGUUUGCAAUGACAUCCAAACUGGCAUGGAAAAAGGAGACCUAACUGGAGCUAUUUUCCUUGAUUUUGCAAAGGCCUUUGACACAGUAGGCCACAACAUUCUACUACACACACUCAAAAACUCAGGUAUUGGUGAUUGUCCGCUAACCUGGUUUCGAUCGUAUGUAUUGGAUCGCUCGCAACAUUUGUCCAUUUCUAAAAGCGACUUCCUCCCUCUCCUAGUGUGGUGUUCCUCAAGGUUCCAUUCUCUGCCCACUACUAUUUAUAUUAUUUAUAAAUGUCUGCAAAUCCUCAAAUGUACACAUGUACGCAGACGACACAGUGAUCUAUGUGAGCAAAUCCGAUCUACCACAGCUUGAGGCUGUGCUCCAAGUACACACACACAGACUGCUGAAUACAUACACAGACUGCUGAAUACAUACACACACAGUCCGCUGAAUACACACACACAGUCCGCUGAAUACACACACUGCGUGGGGUGCUGUGUGUGUGCUGUGUGUGAGGGGUGCUGUGUGUGUGAGGGGUGAUGUUUGUGUGUGAGGGUUGCUGUGUGUGUCUGAGGGUUGCUGUGUGUGUCUGAGGGUUGCUGUGUGUGUGUGUGUGAUGGUUGUUGUGUGUGUGUGGGAGGGGUGCUGUGUGUGUGUGUAUGACAGGUGUUGUGUGUGUAUGAGGGGUGCUGUGUGUGUGUGAGGGGUGCUGUGUGUGUGUAUGAAAGGUGCUGUGUGUGUGAGGGCUGCUGUGUGUGUGUAUGAGGGGCGGUGUGUGUGUAUGAG